CCCGGUUUAAGCGUGUAGGCUGGUUUUCCAGGCAAAUCCGGAAAAUCAAGGCUGAGGCGUGAUGACGAGGCACUACGGUGCUGAAGCAACAAAUGCCCUGCUUCCAGGAAAAGCCUCUAAGCAUCAGGUAACAUCAAAUCGUACCCCAAACCGACACAGGUGGUCAGGUAGAGAAUACCAAGGCGCUUGAGAGAACUCGGGUGAAGGAACUAGGCAAAAUGGUGCCGUAACUUCGGGAGAAGGCACGCUGAUAUGUAGGUGAAGUCCCUCGCGGAUGGAGCUGAAAUCAGUCGAAGAUACCAGCUGGCUGCAACUGUUUAUUAAAAACACAGCACUGUGCAAACACGAAAGUGGACGUAUACGGUGUGACGCCUGCCCGGUGCCGGAAGGUUAAUUGAUGGGGUCAGCGCAAGCGAAGCUCUUGAUCGAAGCCCCGGUAAACGGCGGCCGUAACUAUAACGGUCCUAAGGUAGCGAAAUUCCUUGUCGGGUAAGUUCCGACCUGCACGAAUGGCGUAAUGAUGGCCAGGCUGUCUCCACCCGAGACUCAGUGAAAUUGAACUCGCUGUGAAGAUGCAGUGUACCCGCGGCAAGACGGAAAGACCCCGUGAACCUUUACUAUAGCUUGACACUGAACAUUGAGCCUUGAUGUGUAGGAUAGGUGGGAGGCUUUGAAGUGUGGACGCCAGUCUGCAUGGAGCCGACCUUGAAAUACCACCCUUUAAUGUUUGAUGUUCUAACGUGGACCCGUGAUCCGGGUUGCGGACAGUGUCUGGUGGGUAGUUUGACUGGGGCGGUCUCCUCCUAAAGAGUAACGGAGGAGCACGAAGGUUGGCUAAUCCUGGUCGGACAUCAGGAGGUUAGUGCAAUGGCAUAAGCCAGCUUGACUGCGAGCGUGACGGCGCGAGCAGGUGCGAAAGCAGGUCAUAGUGAUCCGGUGGUUCUGAAUGGAAGGGCCAUCGCUCAACGGAUAAAAGGUACUCCGGGGAUAACAGGCUGAUACCGCCCAAGAGUUCAUAUCGACGGCGGUGUUUGGCACCUCGAUGUCGGCUCAUCACAUCCUGGGGCUGAAGUAGGUCCCAAGGGUAUGGCUGUUCGCCAUUUAAAGUGGUACGCGAGCUGGGUUUAGAACGUCGUGAGACAGUUCGGUCCCUAUCUGCCGUGGGCGCUGGAGAACUGAGGGGGGCUGCUCCUAGUACGAGAGGACCGGAGUGGACGCAUCACUGGUGUUCGGGUUGUCAUGCCAAUGGCACUGCCCGGUAGCUAAAUGCGGAAGAGAUAAGUGCUGAAAGCAUCUAAGCACGAAACUUGCCCCGAGAUGAGUUCUCCCUGACCCUUUAAGGGUCCUGAAGGAACGUUGAAGACGACGACGUUGAUAGGCCGGGUGUGUAAGCGCAGCGAUGCGUUGAGCUAACCGGUACUAAUGAACCGUGAGGCUUAACCUUACAACGCCGAAGGUGUUU
rnacentral:rRNA from 1 species